CAGCAGCCGCGGUAAUGCGAAGGGUGCAAGCGUUACUCGGAAUUACUGGGCGUAAAGCGUGCGUAGGUGGUGGUUUAAGUCCGUUGUGAAAGCCCUGGGCUCAACCUGGGAAUUGCAGUGGAUACUGGGUCACUAGAGUGUGGUAGAGGAUAGUGGAAUUUCCGGUGUAGCAGUGAAAUGCGUAGAGAUCGGAAGGAACAUCUGUGGCGAAGGCGACUAUCUGGGCCAACACUGACACUGAGGCACGAAAGCGUGGGGAGCAAACAGGAUUAGAGACCCCGGUAGUCCCUGUCUCUUAUAC
rnacentral:rRNA from 1 species